rfam:Ornithorhynchus anatinus chromosome 5, whole genome shotgun sequence.
CCCCUCUCAGGGUCGCAUCUGGAGAGCUUCGAGUACUCUACCGAUUACGACUUUAGGAGGGAGAGUCGAGCAGAGGCCUACCCACUCCAUUCCUAGCUUGGCCAGUGGCUAGCGAGUGGAAGGCCAUCUGCUACAAGC